rnacentral:rRNA from 1 species
UCUCCUGGAAAACGGGUGGUAAUGCCGGAUGCUCCAGUUGACCGCAUGGUCCUCUGGGAAAGCUUUUGCGGUAUGGGAUGGGGUCGCGUCCUAUCAGCUUGAUGGCGGGGUAACGGCCCACCAUGGCUUCGACGGGUAGCCGGCCUGAGAGGGCGACCGGCCACAUUGGGACUGAGAUACGGCCCAGACUCCUACGGGAGGCAGCAGUGGGGAAUAUUGCACAAUGGGCGCAAGCCUGAUGCAGCGACGCCGCGUGCGGGAUGACGGCCUUCGGGUUGUAAACCGCUUUUGACUGGGAGCAAGCCCUUCGGGGUGAGUGUACCUUUCGAAUAAGCACCGGCUAACUACGUGCCAGCAGCCGCGGUAAUACGUAGGGUGCAAGCGUUAUCCGGAAUUAUUGGGCGUAAAGGGCUCGUAGGCGGUUCGUCGCGUCCGGUGUGAAAGUCCAUCGCUUAACGGUGGAUCCGCGCCGGGUACGGGCGGGCUUGAGUGCGGUAGGGGAGACUGGAAUUCCCGGUGUAACGGUGGAAUGUGUAGAUAUCGGAAAGAACACCAAA